rnacentral:rRNA from 1 species
UCCUACAGCUAAGCCUCCACAUUUAGGCAGUGCUGUGUCAAUCUUGUCUGACCUCAGAAUCCAAGCAGUGUUGGCCUGGUUCAUAUUUAGAUGAGUGACCACUUGGGAAUACUGGGUGCUAUAGGCU